rnacentral:rRNA from 1 species
UUGGAGGGCAAGUCUGGUGCCAGCAGCCGCGGUAAUUCCAGCUCCAAUAGCGUAUAUUAAAGUUGUUGCAGUUAAAAAGCUCGUAGUUGAAUUUCGGGAUCGGAUUGUCGGUCGUGCCUCGGUUCGCACUGGUAUUAUUGGUUCCUACCUUCUGAAGAACCGCGAUGUCAUUAAUUUGGUGUCGUGGGGAAUCAGGACUGUUACUUUGAAAAAAUUAGAGUGUUUAAAGCAGGCUUACGCUUGAAUACAUUAGCAUGGAAUAAUGAAAUAGGACGUUUGAUUCUAUUUUGCUGGUUUCUAGGAUUGACGUAAUGAUUAAUAGGGAUAGUUGGGGGCAUUAGUAUUCAAUUGUCAGAGGUGAAAUUCUUGGAUUUAUUGAAGACUAACUACUGCGAAAGCAUUUGCCAAGGAUGUUUUCAUUAAUCAAGAACGAAAGUUAGGGGAUCGAAGUCGAUCAGAUACCGUCGUAGUCUUAACCAUAAACUAUGCCGACUGGGGAUCGGAUGAUGUUAAUUUUUUAAUGACCCAUUCGGCGCCUUACGGGAAACCAAAGUGUUUGGGUUC